ACAAUAUCACAAUCAUCAUUAAUAGCAACUAAAACAUACAAAGAAGAUUAGCAUAGUCCCUGCACAGGUUGACAUGCACAAAUCGAAAAAUGGUCCUAAUUUUU
rnacentral:snRNA from 2 species